UCCUUGAUUAAUGGCAGGGCGGCCGCCUGCUGCAGCAGGAGGGGGCCGGCCGGGGAGGGAUUUAUCCCACUCAUCUGACACGUGGCGCUUCGCUCUUCUGCGGUGUCGUGGCUACAGAGCCAGGGCUGAAAGCCUCCGUUUUCGGUACCUCUGAUCUACCUCAAACGUACCUUAAAGGAGAAAGGAGCUGUGCUGUGGAUCUCAGCCUUGACUGGCACGUUCCUGGGUUUUGCACUCGAGUAUCUGGGAAAGGGGGAGGCAGCCGGAGAAAGGCAGCAAAGCAUCGCACGCGUGUUUCUCCCAGCUGAUCUGCAGGCAGUGUUGGAAAAGAAGGGGUCGUUCCUGCUACCGAGAGUGACUGACGGGAACCUGGGGUGGGAUUCUGGUCUCACUACCUCGGAAACCUGCGGUGAGCAUACAUCUGCAGCUGAACUGGGCACCCUAGGCUUCCCUUGUUAGUUAAUGGAGGCGAUUAGGUAUUUUUAGGCAUGACUCGCCUGUCCUAUUUUAGCUCUCUAUUUUAGUACAGGAUGAAUUGUACGAUGUCCGUUAACUUUAAAGAGAGUCUAAUCCGAGUAGCUCAGAUGCGGACCUCUUAACUGAUUUAUUCGGAUCAGUUCUACCCCCGUCUGCCAAGGUCUUUAAAGCACCAGGUAUCUUCCAAGGCUAAAACCGAGGCAAACAGUGAGAGAGGGGCAGGGCAGAAAGCUGUCUUUUGCUUUGCUUUUUCCCAGAUAGCAGCAUCUCUUCAGGUGUGACUUUGGCAGCCAAACGCUCGAGUUGGCUGUGGUCGUUUUGAACUGUCAAAAGUAUUGUUGGUCCUAGUCUAGGAGCAAUGCAGUCUCCGUCGGUACAACGUCUAUCCAGUUGGAAAAAAAAAAAGGAUUUUUAGUUGCCUUCCCUCUCAAACAUCUGCUUUUCUGUUGACAAAUCGCUCCCUCUCUCUUGCCCUAUCCCUGCCCUCCUUUUUCCUUAUGGCUCUCUGUCUCGACCCCUCCUGAUGCAGCCAAACCUGCCAAUUCUCUGUAGCUCCUCUGAGGCUCCCGAUCUUCCUUAGCUUUUGCUGAAACUAAGCAAAGAGGCUCCCUGGCGUAGAGGCAGGAAUAUCAGCAACACCUCAAUAGCGCAGCCACGCUGGGACCCGCAACAACAUGCCCCCACACGUGUCCGCGUACGCAGAGUUUGCUGUGGGCUGGAAGAGGCAGCAGGAGGGAAGGCCGGGUCAUACCGAGCGUUUCUAAGCCGAUGAAAACAGCAGGCACUGCCCGGUGGUGGUCCGCGUGCAGGGACCAGGCUGGGACCAGGCGCAGGCAGCAAAGCGUAUCCAUAGGAAUGAAGUACAAAGAUGGUGAAAGACUGGUACGUCUUGCACACCGUCAUCUUCUCGUCGCGUGUGCUUUCUGCCUACUGAUGCAAAUAAGGGCAUCCUCCGUCAUUUUUCUGAAGCUGACAUGAGACCGUGAUGUUUUCCACGCGGGCGGAAUUCAUACACGGCACAUCUCUGAGCCUCUGGCUACACGGGGAACCGCACAAGCUCCUUGAUGAUACCACAGGCCACGAACCACGGGUGGCUGCUGGCUGCCCAUACCCUGCCUCGCGAUCACCGGAACGAUCAGCUGGCCGAACAGGGCGGAAUCUCCCAGUGGUGGCCUCCGUUAUGACGGUCGCAGGGCUGUCAUUCGGAGACAGCUGAAGAACUUGGCCGGUACAGGCUCUUUCAAGGUUGGGAUCAGCGUUUUGAUGAAUUGUAGAGUCUUUGGGUAGAGGGUGAACAUUGAUCUGCACUUCUCUGCAGGAGAAGUGCAGAUGUCCAAGGAUGUGUAGGAUGCAGAGGAUCCACCUUGUGCAAGUGAUACUUUAUAAACGUGAGUUCAGAGUGCGUGUCCAGCUGUUGUGUCAGAGCACAGCAACGAUGCAGCUCCCAGCAGGCUCCGUCUCCCUUCCACCGGGAUCUUUCUCCCACAGGAGACCUCCUGCCACCACCUGAGCUUCUGCAAGCUCCCUGGUCCAGUGCAAGAUGAUCCUGUAGGAUGUCUGAUAAUACGGAGUGCUGAUAGGUGUCCGUGUCCCAGGACCCUGAUUCCCGGUAAUCUUCAUCAGGAUAAGGAGAGAAGAGCACACACACGGCAGGUCCUAGCUAUAUCGGUUACUGCACAUCUGAUACGUGUCCAGAUACUAGAAGGACUUCUGUAAGAUAGCAUAAAAUACAUAAAGUACAAGUUGUUUGGCACACUUAGGGAGCUCUGCCCUACAAAUCGUUCCCCUUCUGCUUCUCUUGUUGCUAAUGAAACAGCUGCUCUUUGGUUUCAGGCUUUAACCUAUUUUUAGAUUCCUUUUAUGCUGUUGGCCCUUUGAAAUGCAUGAAUCGCUGUGAAAGAAAGCCAGUGUCAUUGCUGUGAGGCACGAGGAAGGCCUGUAGGUGAAGUCAUGUCUGGUAAUGAGAGACUGUCUCACCUAUUCAUCUCCUCCCUUCCUUUAUUUCUAUAAAGCAACUCUGUUCCCUUGGGCACGUGGUUGCAUACCUUUUCUGCUUUUAUUUAAGCAUUACAGUGAUAGCAGGCACAGCCCUUCAUUAGCACAGCUGCAGAGCCGGCGUGCUCUGCUGCGGUCUCAAUACGUGGUCCUGUUCCCACCGCAGGAAAUGUGCUGGCCCGAAGCGGAAAGGGAGCUGGAGGAGCUUGGAUUUCAAGGAGAGAAGCUGGAGAACAGCGCAGAAAGGAGGAAGCUGUGAAUAAAAAUAGGGGGCCAGCGGAAGACAGACCUUUAUUCUCGUUGCUGCAGCCUUUACUGCCUUGAGGACUUCCGUUCUUCGCUCUGCAUCCCUGCACUGACACACAGUUUCACUGGGAUCGAGUCAUCUCCGACGUAUCUGCUAAAUCCUGGCUAGAGACAAGGAGUUCUCGACACAGCAGGGUUCGGUUUUCUUUUUAUGGUUGAAAAAUGUGGUUUGAAUUCUGUGCUACAGCGAAAAUCUAGCAGCAAAAUGUGUGCCUCUGAGGUGUAAAGGCGGCUGCUGUUGCAGAUUCAUACGAGCUCGGUUACGUACGGGGAACUUUGUACUCGGAGGAAAUUAUCACUAGUCUGUAACGCUCUUGGUUUUCUGUUGGCUUUGUAUAGGUUCCUACACUGAUGAAAGUGCAUUUCAAGUUGAAUUUUUCAGGCCCUGUGUAUGUAGUAUUACAUAGAUUGCAAAUAUCUGCCAUGAUUUCCCCUGUUCAGAAUAAAACCGUCUAUGACACCUGUA